rnacentral:lncRNA from 1 species
UGGCAUGCAUACCUUUUCCCAGGCCACAUAAGCUUUCUUUGAGAUAUUAACUGAACCUGACCAAAUAUAGGAUCUACAUAUUGACUCCAGCAGUUUAACAACCUUUGAAGGCAUGAUAAAUAAUUGAGCCCAGUAAGCUUGAACACCAAAUAUAACUGAUUGCACAAACUGGCUUCUGCCUGCAUAGGAUAGAUAUCUAGCUGUCCAGGAAGUAAUUCUAGCAGAAAUCCUGUCAACCAGAGGUUGCCAUUAAGCAACUGACAACUUUUUGGUAGUCAAAGGCACUCCCAAGUAUUUGAAAGGGAGGUAUCCUCGAACAUAACCAAGAUGGUCAAGAAUUUGAUGCUGAAUCACAGGGGUGACCCCUCCAAAAUACACUGCACUUUUGUGUAAGUUUGCUUUAAGACCAGUAGCUGCAAGGAAUUGAGAGAAAAAUAAGAACAUAGAACUUACUGACUGAAGCUCUCCUUUGACAAACAAUAGUAAGUCAUCAGCAAAGCUUAAAUGAGUAAUUCCCAAUUUCUAAGGGAGGUAUCCUCGAACAUAACCAAGAUGGUCAAGAAUUUGAUGCUGAAUCACAGGGGUGACCCC